AUUGAACGCUGGCGGCAGGCCUAACACAUGCAAGUCGAGCGGUAGCACAGAGAGCUUGCUCUCGGGUGACGAGCGGCGGACGGGUGAGUAAUGUCUGGGAAACUGCCUGAUGGAGGGGGAUAACUACUGGAAACGGUAGCUAAUACCGCAUAACGUCGCAAGACCAAAGUGGGGGACCUUCGGGCCUCAUGCCAUCAGAUGUGCCCAGAUGGGAUUAGCUAGUAGGUGGGGUAACGGCUCACCUAGGCGACGAUCCCUAGCUGGUCUGAGAGGAUGACCAGCCACACUGGAACUGAGACACGGCCCAGACUCCUACGGGAGGCAGCAGUGGGGAAUAUUGCACAAUGGGCGCAAGCCUGAUGCAGCCAUGCCGCGUGUGUGAAGAAGGCCUUCGGGUUGUAAAGCACUUUCAGCGGGGAGGAAGGCGGUGAGGUUAAUAACCUCAUCGAUUGACGUUACCCGCAGAAGAAGCACCGGCUAACUCCGUGCCAGCAGCCGCGGUAAUACGGAGGGUGCAAGCGUUAAUCGGAAUUACUGGGCGUAAAGCGCACGCAGGCGGUCUGUCAAGUCGGAUGUGAAAUCCCCGGGCUCAACCUGGGAACUGCAUUCGAAACUGGCAGGCUAGAGUCUUGUAGAGGGGGGUAGAAUUCCAGGUGUAGCGGUGAAAUGCGUAGAGAUCUGGAGGAAUACCGGUGGCGAAGGCGGCCCCCUGGACAAAGACUGACGCUCAGGUGCGAAAGCGUGGGGAGCAAACAGGAUUAGAUACCCUGGUAGUCCACGCCGUAAACGAUGUCGAUUUGGAGGUUGUGCCCUUGAGGCGUGGCUUCCGGAGCUAACGCGUUAAAUCGACCGCCUGGGGAGUACGGCCGCAAGGUUAAAACUCAAAUGAAUUGACGGGGGCCCGCACAAGCGGUGGAGCAUGUGGUUCAAUUCGAUGCAACGCGAAGAACCUUACCUGGUCUUGACAUCCACAGAACUUUCCAGAGAUGGAUUGGUGCCUUCGGGAACUGUGAGACAGGUGCUGCAUGGCUGUCGUCAGCUCGUGUUGUGAAAUGUUGGGUUAAGUCCCGCAACGAGCGCAACCCUUAUCCUUUGUUGCCAGCGGUUAGGCCGGGAACUCAAAGGAGACUGCCAGUGAUAAACUGGAGGAAGGUGGGGAUGACGUCAAGUCAUCAUGGCCCUUACGACCAGGGCUACACACGUGCUACAAUGGCAUAUACAAAGAGAAGCGACCUCGCGAGAGCAAGCGGACCUCAUAAAGUAUGUCGUAGUCCGGAUUGGAGUCUGCAACUCGACUCCAUGAAGUCGGAAUCGCUAGUAAUCGUAGAUCAGAAUGCUACGGUGAAUACGUUCCCGGGCCU
rnacentral:rRNA from 1 species